UAGCCGAGACUGGUUUGAUCUGAUUAGUAGAUGUCAAUUUUAUUGUCUCGCCAGGCUAAAGUAUUAAGAGCCGCACGAAAUUUCAACAUACACAUAAAAUGGAUUUCGGGGAACUGCCUACUACACAUGAAAUUAUGGAAUGCCAGGAUAAGCUGACUAACGGAAGUGAGGGAAACGAGCUGGAGCGAAGCUGUCAGGUCCCUAGCCACCCCGUGUAUCUCAGGUCAGCGCACAGGCUUCAAGGUCUGUUUACUUUGCUCAGCCAGAAGCUGAUCGAAGUCAAUCAAUGGAGGACACGACAUAUUUAAAGCCGAGUUGAACCCCUGGGCUGUUGAAAGUGCUCGCCGCUGGGCCUGGCAAUAAUGCCUGUCUUCACUGAUUCACACGUCUGGCUGUCAGGGGUCAAUUAUUUUUUGUGGAUGUAAGUGCUGAACUGGAUCUGACUACAUCAGGUUUGAUUUGUCUGUUGUUUACAAACCGCUCUGGACACGAGCGCUAUCAGCCCGCACUUUACAUUAAAGGGGUCACUGUUUGAAAUGUGACCGCUAGGGCCAUAAGUGGACGAUAAUCUGUAUAUAGAGACAUGUUAAAACCAUACAAACAUCUUCUGAAAGCCGUCCCUUUAGGGGGUAGAGGUCUCCUCACAUGUAGCGAAAAACAAAUGUUGGGACGAAACUUCGGUCAGGAACG